AGGAGCCUUGCUUCUCCCCUUCACACAGCCCACUACGCAUCUGGACUGACUUUGCUUCCUUGCUCCCCAGGGAAUUCCUUUCUUCACUCAAGAUCCUACUUUCGGGAUUUCUUCCAUUCAGCUUCCUGCCAAUGGGCACCCUGUGACGCAGCAGGGGAUGGCCCCAGUACUUGGAUUCCUGCUGCCCAUGUGGGAGACCUGCACUGAGUUUCCAGCUUCUAGCGCCAGCCUGGCCCAGCACCAGCCUUUGCAGGCAUUUGGGGAGUGAACCAACUGACGGAAGAUUUCUCUCUGUGUCUGUCUGUCUGCCUGCCUCCAUACCUCUGCCUUUUAAGUAAAAAUAAAUUUAAGUAAAAAUUUAAAACAUCA